rnacentral:rRNA from 1 species
UGAACCUAGUGAUGUAUGGAUUAGUGGCGGACGGGUGAGUAACGCGUGGAUAACCUGCCGUAUACAGGGGGAUAACACUUAGAAAUAGGUGCUAAUACCGCAUAAGCGCACGGUUCCGCAUGGAACAGUGUGAAAAACUUCGGUGGUAUACGAUGGAUCCGCGUCUGAUUAGCCAGUUGGCGGGGUAACGGCCCACCAAAGCGACGAUCAGUAGCCGGCCUGAGAGGGUGAACGGCCACAUUGGGACUGAGACACGGCCCAAACUCCUACGGGAGGCAGCAGUGGGGAAUAUUGCACAAUGGGGGAAACCCUGAUGCAGCGACGCCGCGUGAGUGAAGAAGUAUUUCGGUACGUAAUGCUCUAUCAGCAGGGAAGAAAAGAAGUCCUUUGGAUUUUGGACGGUACCUGACCAAGAAGCCCCGGCUAACUACGUGCCAGCAGCCGCGGUAAUACGUAGGGGGCAAGCGUUAUCCGGAUUUACUGGGUGUAAAGGGAGCGUAGACGGCAGCGCAAGUCUGGAGUGAAAUGCCGGGGCCCAACCCCGGAACUGCUUUGGAAACUGUGCAGCUCGAGUGCAGGAGAGGUAAGCGGAAUUCCUAGUGUAGCGGUGAAAUGCGUAGAUAUUAGGAGGAACACCAGUGGCGAAGGCGGCUUACUGGACUGUAACUGACGUUGAGGCUCGAAAGCGUGGGGAGCAAACAGGAUUAGAUACCCUGGUAGUCCACGCCGUAAACGAUGAUUACUAGGUGUCGGGGAGCCAAGGCUCUCCGGUGCCG